GAACGUACGCUGGCGGCACGCCUAACACAUGCAAGUCGAACGAAGUAGCAAUACUUAGUGGCAGACGGGUGAGUAACAUGUAGGUAUCUGCCCUUUGGCCUGGAAUAACACGAGGAAACUUGUGCUAAUACCGGAUAAGUCUUUACGGAGAAAGCUUUAUGCACCAUUGGAUGAGCCUGCACUUGAUUAGUUUGUUGGUGGGGUAAUGGCCUACCAAGACUGUGAUCAAUAGCUGAUUUGAGAGGAUGAUCAGCCACAUUGGGACUGAGACACGGCCCAAACUCCUACGGGAGGCAGCAGUGGGGAAUCUUGCACAAUGGAGGAAACUCUGAUGCAGCGAUGCCGCGUGAGUGAAGAAGGCCUUUGGGUUGUAAAGCUCUUUCGUCGGGGAAGAAAAUGACUGUACCCGAAUAAGAAGGUCCGGCUAACUUCGUGCCAGCAGCCGCGGUAAUACGAAGGGACCUAGCGUAGUUCGGAAUUACUGGGCUUAAAGAGUUCGUAGGUGGUUGAAAAAGUUGGUGGUGAAAUCCCAGAGCUUAACUCUGGAACUGCCAUCAAAACUUUUCAGCUAGAGUAUGAUAGAGGAAAGCAGAAUUUCUAGUGUAGAGGUGAAAUUCGUAGAUAUUAGAAAGAAUACCAAUUGCGAAGGCAGCUUUCUGGAUCAUUACUGACACUGAGGAACGAAAGCAUGGGUAGCGAAGAGGAUUAGAUACCCUCGUAGUCCAUGCCGUAAACGAUGUGUGUUAGACGUUGGAAAUUUAUUUUCAGUGUCGCAGCGAAAGCGAUAAACACACCGCCUGGGGAGUACGACCGCAAGGUUAAAACUCAAAUGAAUUGACGGGGACCCGCACAAGUAGUGGAGCAUGUGGUUUAAUUCGAAGAUACGCGCAGAACCUUACCAACACUUGACAUGUUCGUCGCGACUCUAAGAGAUUAGAGUUUUCGGUUCGGCCGGACGAAACACAGGUGCUGCAUGGCUGUCGUCAGCUCGUGUCGUGAGAUGUUGGGUUAAGUCCCGCAACGAGCGCAACCCUCACUUUUAGUUGCCAUCAUUAAGUUGGGCACUCUGAAAGAACUGCCAGUGAUAAGCUGGAGGAAGGUGGGGAUGACGUCAAGUCCUCAUGGCCCUUACGUGUUGGGCUACACACGUGCUACAAUGGUAUCUACAACAGGAAGCAAAACUGCGAAGUUAAGCAAAUCCCUAAAAGAUACCUCAGUUCGGAUUGCACUCUGCAACUCGAGUGCAUGAAGCUGGAAUUACUAGUAAUCGUGGAUCAGCGUGCCACGGUGAAUGCGUUCCCGGGUCUUGUACACACCGC
rnacentral:rRNA from 1 species